rnacentral:rRNA from 1 species
UACGUAGGGUGCAAGCGUUGUCCGGAAUUAUUGGGCGUAAAGAGCUCGUAGGCGGUUUGUCGCGUCUGCUGUGAAAACGCGAGGCUCAACCUCGCGCCUGCAGUGGGUACGGGCAGACUGGAGUGCGGUAGGGGAGAUUGGAAUUCCUGGUGUAGCGGUGGAAUGCGCAGAUAUCAGGAGGAACACCGAUGGGCGAAGGCAGAUCUCUGGGCCGUAACUGACGCUGAGGAGCGGAAAGCGUGGGGAGCGAACAGG